GGAACAGAGGCAUCACAGGAUGUCACAGAGGAGCACGGGUUUAGUGUUUGUGAGUAACCUCAAGUAAUGCCUGAUUUGUGGGGUUGCAAAACACAGAUGGAAACAAGCAUGAGAUUCCACAAAAUAGGAAGAGGUAGUCAGUCCUAUGGGGCAAAGCCUAAGAGAGCGCAAACAAUGAGAGAAGACAGAAGAGGAUGGAAUAGAAGUGUGCUUCCACCUAUGACUGUGCCAGCUUGGCCCAGAAUAACAAUCCAGUAUCAAAGCCAGGGAAGAGCACUGCAGAGCCAACAGAAGAUAACCAGACUGGCUGGAGAGGGAUGUACUGGAGUUGAGUGCUACAGCACUGGAACAAGACUAAAGGAGAGGAUUUCACAGGGACAAAUCUGAAAGAGCCAGCAACUGGCUGUGAGGCACACACAACACAAACCCACUCAAAUACAAGGGGCAUCUCUCAUGUUGCACCCAAAAUUUGACUCCAUCUCAUAACAGUUUGCUAUUCCUGGUCUUCACAGUAAACUGACAUCAACACUUAAUCAAAAAUCCAAAGCUA
rnacentral:lncRNA from 12 species